UGCGGUGAACUGACUGGCAAGAGGCAGCUGACAGAAUCGCAAAAGUUCAGUGAAAACGUUCAACGAAACGAAACUGACCAGCGGGACGCCAUAGAUGUAGCUUUAACUGAAACUUCAAUUCACAAGCGGAAAUAAUAAGCACUCAGAGACUCUGAGUGCUGUCGAAUUCUUUUUCUUCAUUGGCUUCGAGGUCAGCAGUGUCGUCUUGCUCACCUUGCCCAUGCCGCGUGUCCCGGAUAACGUUGACCAAGCUGUUCAACGAAAAAUAAUAUUUGUAAAACACGCUGCAAGGUAAAAUUAUAAGACUUAUGGUAUUCGCUCAUGCGAGGCCUGACAACCGAAGGCCGUAGUCUUACAGUUUAAUCUUGAGACAAGUUUAUAAAACAUUAUUUUCAUCAAACAGCUUGGCUAACAUCAGCUGGGGCACCGCAUACAUAUAUUAGUAUAUUGCCUACUAUAUAUUCGGUAUAUUGGCCACUCGUGCAGUCACAAUGUAUCAGAAAGGCUCAUAUGCGAUACAAAAGUUCAUCAACGCGGUGUAACCAGCAGUCACCAGUUGCGCAAAAAAAAAAAAAAAAAAGAAAAAAUCGUAGCCACUUGCUUCGACAAUCGCGUCUCAAUCGCUUAGCACUGCAGACCCUGACGCAAGGGAAUAGCCGAGGGCCACGAAAGACGACGGCAUCUAUUCAGCGUACAAUUGUAAUUUCGAAUAUAGCGUCGGACAUCGAUGCCCCGGAAUCUUCUUGAUACGAACUACGAAAUGCUGUCUGUGCAAACGCGUCGACGAAAUGCAGCGCGUGACAGACGAUAACAUCGAAAGCAGGAAAGGAGACCGAAAUGGAACAAAGAAACAGAUCGCGACGAUAACCCACAUUAGGCGCGGUAACUGUGCUCCGUGGUCCGGUCGCCUAGGAAACGGCCGCGCAUGCGCAACGCCACGUGACAGCGGCAGAACGCCGUUGGGGCCCGGCUGCGGACGACGUGGCUGCAAGUGCGGCGUAAUCCUGUUGGUGCUAUCAACGGACAAACUCUUCGACUUGGAAUGCGUCUCCACGUGUAUUCCUGACGCAAGCUUCGCCUGUCGGUAUCAGUGUGCGUUUUGCUGCCGUGGUGUCAUCAGCAAAGUUCAUCAUCGGUGAACCAGAAACAUUUAGUGUUGUGACAUCACGCCAGGCACAUCGCAAGAGCCUCUCUGCGAACUUCACCUUCAGUGUGCAUGUGAACAGAACUUUCGACGUGGCCCGUUCUACUGGGAUCUGCCCCAUGCAGGCGUAAUCCUGUUGGUGCUAUCAAUGGACACACUCUUCGACUUGGAAUCCCUCACCACGCGUAUUCCUGACUCAAGCUUCGCCUGUCGCUAUCAGUGUGCGCUAUCAGUGUGUGCUAUCAGUGUCGCCUGUGCGUGUCAGUGUGCCGUGGUGUCAUCAACAAAGUUCAUCUUCAGUGAUCCAGCAACGUUGACUGUUGCGUCAUCCAGCCAGGCACAUUGCAAAAGCCUCGCUGCGCACUUCACCUUCAGUGGGCUCGCGAACAGAACUUUCGACAUGGCCCGUUCUACUGGGAUUUGUCCCGUACAGGUGUGUACUAAAACUUCGUUACACACUAGGAAACAGUGAUGACCAGUUCCUGUU